rnacentral:rRNA from 1 species
GACGAACGCUGGCGGCGUGCUUAACACAUGCAAGUCGAACGGAAAGGCCUUUUCGGAGGUACUCGAGUGGCGAACGGGUGAGUAACACGUGGGUGAUCUGCCCUGCACUCUGGGAUAAGCCUGGGAAACUGGGUCUAAUACCGGAUAGGACCGCACUUUAGUGUGUGUGGUGGAAAGUUUUUUCGGUGUAGGAUGAGCCCGCGGCCUAUCAGCUUGUUGGUGGGGUAAUGGCCUACCAAGGCGGCGACGGGUAGCCGGACUGAGAGGUUGUUCGGCCACAUUGGGACUGAGAUACGGCCCAGACUCCUACGGGAGGCAGCAGUGGGGAAUAUUGCACAAUGGGCGCAAGCCUGAUGCAGCGACGCCGCGUGGGGGAUGACGGCCUUCGGGUUGUAAACUCCUUUCGCCAGGGACGAAGCGUUUUGUGACGGUACCUGGAGAAGAAGCACCGGCUAACUACGUG